AUGCACGCUGGCGGCGUGCUUAACACCUGCAAGUCGCACGGUGAAAGAGAGCUUGCUCUCUGGAUCAGUGGCGAACGGGUGAGUAACACGUGAGCAAUCUGCCCCUGACUCUGGGAUAAGCGCUGGAAACGGCGUCUAAUACCGGAUACGAGCUGCGAAGGCAUCUUCAGCAGCUGGAAAGAACUUCGGUCAGGGAUGAGCUCGCGGCCUAUCAGCUAGUUGGUGAGGUAACGGCUCACCAAGGCGUCGACGGGUAGCCGGCCUGAGAGGGUGACCGGCCACACUGGGACUGAGACACGGCCCAGACUCCUACGGGAGGCAGCAGUGGGGAAUAUUGCACAAUGGGCGAAAGCCUGAUGCAGCAACGCCGCGUGAGGGACGACGGCCUUCGGGUUGUAAACCUCUUUUAGCAGGGAAGAAGCGAAAGUGACGGUACCUGCAGAAAAAGCACCGGCUAACUACGUG
rnacentral:rRNA from 1 species